UAAUAAGCUUUUCCAUCAACAUCACGCUGCACCAGACUCAAAAUACAAUCAAUUAAUCAUUCUUUUACCAUCAUAACUACAAGAACUGGCACAGAUGCAAAACUGAAACAAAGCAAAUUUUAACGAAGUCAACAAUUGUAGCUGUUGAUCACAGUUGACUCCAUUAACUAUUUAUAUCAUAAUGUCAUUCAGUUCAGCCUUGCAUGGUUUAGUUAUUCUUAAUUUUUAGAAGUAUUGGGGGCUUCAUGAAAUUUAGUAAUUUUUGGCAGCCAUUAAUGUCUUACAAAAGCAGUUCUCCAUGAUAGAUCUAUAUUUAUAAUGUUAACCAGAAAUUUCACUUCAUGUAAUGAAAAGCAGCAUUUGAUUUUCAUCAUUUAUGGUUGUCAAUGAGAUUAAGAAAGAGAGCAGUUAUUUUAGACCCAACAAAUUGCUGAUGGAAUGGUUUGGCAAUUCCAAAUGCCUUCUGCUUUUCAUCUUUGUAAUCCACUUAUGCAUAUAGGUUUCACUAUGCAAAAUUAGCACAAAAUACAGAUCCAAAACCUUACUACUUGAUAUCCAUCAUAAAGUGAUCAGCAUGCAAAGCAACGGGAAGGCAAUGAAAACAAUCUGAAGUACUUGGCACAACAGAUUAUUCCCCCAACUAUUUUUUUUAAUUGGAAACAAAUGGUGCCCUGCCACUUUGUAAAAUCACAAAAUAGAUUAGAGUUAAAAUAAACAAGAGCAAAUUAUA
rnacentral:misc_RNA from 1 species